rnacentral:rRNA from 1 species
CACGUAGGCACCAAGCGUUGUCCGGAUUUAUUGGGCGUAAAGAGCUCGUAGGCGGUUCGGUUAGUCGGGUGUGAAAACUUUGGGCUCAACCCAAAGCGUGCACUCGAUACUGCCGUGACUAGAGUUCGGUAGGGGAGUGGGGAAUUCCUAGUGUAGCGGUGAAAUGCGCAGAUAUUAGGAGGAACACCGGUGGCGAAGGCGGGUCUCUGGGCCGAUACUGACGCUGAGGAGCGAAAGCGUGGGGAGCGAACAGG